UACGGGGGGUGCAAACGUUGCUCGGAAUCAUUGGGCGUAAAGCGCACGUAGGCGGUUCGUUAUGUCGGAUGUGAAAGCCCUUGGCUUAACCGAGGAAGUGCAUCCGAAACUGGCGAGCUAGAGUACGAAAGAGGAUCGCGGAAUUCCCGGUGUAGAGGUGAAAUUCGUAGAUAUCGGGAGGAACACCGGUGGCGGAGGCGGCGAUCUGGGUCGAUACUGACGCUGAGGUGCGAAAGCGUGGGGAGCAAACAGG
rnacentral:rRNA from 1 species